rnacentral:rRNA from 1 species
AGUGAACGCUGGCGGCAGGCCUAACACAUGCAAGUCGAACGGCAGCACAGUAAGAGCUCGCUCUUACGGGUGGCGACGGGCGGGCGGGUGAGGAAUACAUCGGAAUCUACUUUUUCGUGGGUGAUAACGUGGGGACACUUACGCUAAUACCGCAUACGACCUACGGGUGAGAUCAGGGGAGCUUCGGACCUUGGCUGAUUCUAUGAGCCGAUGUCGGAUUAGCUAGUUGGGGGGGUAAAGGCCCACCAAGGCGACGAUCCGUAGCUGGUCUGAGAGGAUGAUCAGCCACACUGGAACUGAGACACGGUCCAGACUCCUACGGGAGGCAGCAGUGGGGAAUAUUGGACAAUGGGCGAAAGCCUGAUCCAGCCAUGCCGCGUGAGUGAAGAAGGCCUUCGGGUUGUAAAGCCCUUUUAUUGGGAAAGAAAAGCAGCAGGUUAAUACCUCGCUGUUCUGACGGUACCCAAAGAAUAAGCACCGGCUAACUUCGUG